UGUGGCGAAGGCGUCUCACGAGAACGGCUCCGACGGUGAGGGAUGAAGGCCAGGGGAGCGAAUGGGAUUAGAUACCCCAGUAGUCCUGGCAGUAAACCCUGCGAGCUAGGUGUCGCGUAUCCUCCGAGGGUACGCGGUGUCGUAGAGAAGUCGUUAAGCUCGCCGCCUGGGAAGUACGGUCGCAAGGCUGAAACUUAAAGGAAUUGGCGGGGGAGCACUACAAGGGGUGCGGCGUGCGGUUUAAUUGGAUUCAACGCCAAAAAUCUCACCAGAGGAGACGGCAGAAUGAAGGUCAGUCUAAAGGGCUUACCUGACGAGCCGAGAGGUGGUGCAUGGCCGUCGUCAGCUCGUGCCGUGAGGUGUCCUGUUAAGUCAGGCAACGAGCGAGACCUGCGCCUACACUUGCCAGCGAGCAGCUUGCUGUGAUCGGGCACUGUGUAGGGACUGCCUGGGAAACCAGGAGGAAGGUGCAGGCAACGGUAGGUCUGUAUGCCCCGAAUCCACUGGGCUACACGCGCGCAACAAUGGACGAGACAAUGGGCUGCAACACCGAAAGGUGAAGCUAAUCCUCGAAACUCGUCCCCAGUACGGACUGAGGCUUGUAACUCAGCCUCAUGACGCCGGAAUCCCUAGUAAUCGGAGUCAU
rnacentral:rRNA from 1 species